rnacentral:rRNA from 1 species
CCUACGGGAGGCUGCAGUGGGGAAUAUUGGACAAUGGGGGGAACCCUGAUCCAGCCAUGCCGCGUGUGUGAAGAAGGCCCUCGGGUUGUAAAGCACUUUCAGUGAGGAAGAACGCCUGGUGGUUAAUACCCAUCAGGAAAGACAUCACUCACAGAAGAAGCACCGGCUAACUCCGUGCCAGCAGCCGCGGUAAUACGGAGGGUGCGAGCGUUAAUCGGAAUUACUGGGCGUAAAGCGCGCGUAGGUGGCUUGAUAAGCCGGUUGUGAAAGCCCCGGGCUCAACCUGGGAACGGCAUCCGGAACUGUCAAGCUAGAGUGCAGGAGAGGAAGGUAGAAUUCCCGGUGUAGUGGUGAAAUGCGUAGAGAUCGGGAGGAAUACCAGUGGCGAAGGCGGCCUUCUGGACUGACACUGACACUGAGGUGCGAAAGCGUGGGUAGCAAACAGGAUUAGAUACCCUGGUAGUC